AUUCCAGAGAGCGUGUGUGGCUGCAGCCUGCACCGUUGCUGCCUGCUGCCCAGGACGCGGGGUGGGGGACAGGAGCCAGAGUGGUGCCUCCUGCAGACCAAUCUGCGGCCCCAAGGUGGGGGGCCCUACAGAGAUGCUCCGAGGCAUGUACCUCACUCGCAACGGGAACCUGCAGAGGCGACACACGAUGAAGGAGUAGGUGCCCUCGACCCAGCUCUCCCGACUCUGGAUUUGCAGGGGCGAGUGGGCCAGGCUGAGCAACCCUCUUUUCUGCUUCUGUCCCCAGAGCCAAGGACAUGAAGAACAAGCUGGGGAUCUUCAGACGGCGGAAUGAGUCCCCUGGAGCCCCUCCCGCGGGCAAGGCAGACAAAAUGAUGAAGUCAUUCAAGCCCACCUCAGAGGAAGCCCUCAAGUGGGGCGAGUCCUUGGAGAAGCUGCUGGUUCACAAAUGUAAGUUGGGCCUGCCUGCCCACUCCCUGUGCCCUCUCUCCCUCUCCCCUUCGCCCCCAUCCAGACCCUGUGUAGCUGGUGCUAGAGAGGCCGCCUUCCCUCU
rnacentral:sRNA from 1 species